CCCCCGCUUGAGGGUGAAGUGACGAAGCUGAAUAUAGGUGCAUGCAUAGCUGAAAAUAGUUGUUUUUUGGGGAGGGUGAGCAGUUAUUUGGGGUGGAUAGUUUAAGUUAAGACUUUUUCUUUUUCAUAUUUCAUUUUAUUUUAGCAUGGACAGUAAUAACACAUCUAAAAAUAUUAGCGCUCUCAAGAGUCCGCAAUCCGUUGUUAACUUAGAACCAAAGAAAAAAAAGGCAAAAUGUAAUGAUGUGGAAUUAAUAGAUGGUCGGCGAAUAUUUGAUAUAAACCAUCUCUUCGGACAAAUUUUAAACAACGAAACACAUGAGCCAUUUGGUUGUUCCAUAGUUAAUAUGGAAAUCGUCAAAGAAAACCGAAAUGGCUUAUAUAGUGCAUUUACUUUAAAAUGUAAGAUGUGUAACGUUACUAAAAUAAUUACAAAUGAGGACAAAGAUGAACGAAAACUUGACGCUAAUUCGGCUAUAGUUAUAAGUACUAUUUCUACGGGUCUUGGAUAUUCCCAAAUAAAUGAAAUAGCUGCUAUAUUGAAUAUGCCGUUUAUGAGUGGAAAUACUUUUACCAGCUAUCAUGAUAAAGUUACAGACUUAGUCAGAGAAUCCUCAUGGAAGAGUAUGCAGGAAGCGGCAUCUGAAGAAGCACAAAUAGCAAUAGCUGAGGGCGAAGUUGAUACCAAUGGCAUUCCAUGUAUUACUGUAGUGACUGAUGGCGCAUGGGGAAAGCGUUCAUAUAACGUUAAUUAUGAUUCUUCAUCUGGUGUGGUAAUUAUAAUAUUGGUUUAAAAUCCAAUUAAAAAAAAAAAUUUAAAACAUAAUAAACAACUCAAACAAAUUUGUAGGCCUGCAUUGUGGGAUACAAAACAGGUAAAAUAUUGUUUCUUGGAAUAAGAAACAAAUUUUGCUCAGUAUGCUCGUGGUACCAAAAUAAGAAAAGAGAAAUUCCUGUACAUAAAUGUUAUAAAAACUGGAGCGGUACAUCGACCUCAAUGGAAGCGGACAUUAUUUUGGAAGGUUUUAAAAAAAGUGUAGAGUUUUAUAAUCUAAAAUACACUAAAAUGAUUGGAGAUGGAGAUUCUUCGGUAUACCGUAAAUUGUUGCAGUCUAAACCUUAUGGUAAUAAUUUGGUUCAAAAAGUGGAGUGCAAAAAUCAUUUAUUGCGAAAUUUUGCAAAAAAAGUUCGACAAAUCUGUAAUAAAAAGCGAAGUAGCUCCAAAAAUUUACCAGUACCUUUGGCACUUAGGAAAGAAGUUUUUAGCCGGUUUUUGAGACUAAGGGCUGCAAUUACAAAAGCUACUGCAUAUAGAAUGCAAGAGGAAAACUUAAUAGAUGAAAAGAUUUCCUUACUCAGAGGUGACAUUUAUAACGCUCCAAGUCAUGUAUUUGGAGAACACGCCCAGUGCAAGGCAAGAAAUUACUUCAAGUGUGAUAGAGGUGAUAAGGAAAUAAAUAUGGUUCCCAUUAUGCAAAAUUGCGGCAUUUAUGAAGAUGUCCUAGCAGCACUACAAAGAGUAGUUGAUAAUAGCAGCAGUCUAAUCCUCAACAUGGAUAAUAAUCUUGCGGAGCACUAUAAUAAUGUCGUUUGCAAAUU
rnacentral:lncRNA from 1 species